rnacentral:lncRNA from 1 species
UCGAGAUCACCUGGGAAGGGCCCAAAGUGAUAUCAUUGCCAGUAGCUCCCAGAGUCGAGCUGAUGAGCCUCUGGCAAAAGCAAAGCCGAUUGAUGUUGUGCCGAUGGUUGCGACAAUCAAACCGUCAAAUUCGUGAAAACUUCAGAGGUUUUUGAGGGCCAUCACCCCGUUUCAAUUCCGGCUGAACAUUUAUCCAAGGUUUCCUUUUAAAUUCUUAUAAGAGCCACUUGAGGGUUUCGCGUUCACAUUAGGCUAGUUCCCUACUGGUUUCCAGCUAUUCACUGCUUUAUGAUGAUAAAUCUUGCAUAUUAACAAGCAGAAAGGUAAAAGGGGUCUUGCGUCUUCUCAACUCCUUCUCUUCAACCCUAAUUUCACCUCUCUCUCUCUCUCUCUCGCGAAAUAGUCGCUGGAGUCGAGAUCACUUGGGAAGAGCCCAAAGUGAUAUCAUUGCCAGUAGCUCCCAGACCUAGAGUCGAGCUGAUGAGCCUCUGGUAAAAGCAAAGCAGGUUGAUGUUGUGCCGAUGGUCGCGACAAUCGAACCGUCAAAUUUGUGUAAACUUCAGAGGUUUUUGAGGGCCAUCGCCCCUUUUCAAUUCCGGCUGGACAUUUAUCCAAGGUUUCCUUUUAAAUUAAUUGAACUUCUGAAAUUUUUGCUUAA